AUUUUAUUUUAGUAAAAGUUUACAUAUUUAUAAUUUACAGGUAUUGCAGUAGGACAUAUAUAUUUCUUUUUGGAAGAUAUUUUUCCGCAACAAGCUGGCGGUUUCAAGAUUUUAAGAACUCCAGGAUUUUUAAAAACAAUAUUUGAUGCUAGAGAAGAUGAUCCCAACUAUAACCCGUUACCAGAGGAACGUCCUGGAGGGUUUGACUGGGGUGAAGGUCAGAGGGCAGGGGAACAAGAUGAAAGGGAUCAUCUAGAAUGAACUUUGAGCACUCACUAUUGAUGGGAUCUGUGCAUAAUUUCAGCUAAAACAAUAGUGUGAUAUGGAUUGCUAAUACCUGAAAAAAAUCUUGAUUUGCAAAUCCAUGAGAAUUUUUUUUCUUUUUGACUAUGGGGAAAGAUAUAUUUAUAUUGAAAGGUAAAAGAAUAAUGAAAGUUGACACCUGGACUUUUUCAACGAAUAAAGUGCAAAUGUGUUGCGGCCAUCUGGAUGGGGAUAAUUGGAUAUGAUGAUACUGUGUUUAGAGUGACCUUAAGUGAAUGAUGAGUCUAUGUGAUGAGUUUUGAUUCAUUAAAGGCACAGAAAGCCUCAGAAAUUAAGACAUUUUUUUUCCUUCCUUAAAUAGGGCAAACAUUUGUUUUAUACUGUUUGUUGAAUUGGUUAAGAGCAAGUUACACAUACUUGAUUACCACUAGAAGAAAGUAGCACUUAAUGUUAUAGUAUUUAAUGGCGAAAUAUAAACAAAGUGGUAUUUUGAUUUUUAUACAAAAAUCACUAUUACUGCACUGAAGGCCAAAAUGUAUAACAAGAAAAACAUGGGUUAGUUAUAUGGCCUAAGAGUAACUUUUUGGAAACAGUGACAUGGCACAAUAAAUAAAAUGGUUUUGAAAAAUAGAAAAUAAUAUCAUUUUUGAGGCUUAAUGGGCCUUUAAAGGGAAAUAAGGGGGAAUGUGUUCAUAUUCAAUGAUGAAUAGACAGAGGACAGAAUUUGUACCAUUACCUUGAUAGUAGUGAUAUUUAUACAAUUUGCACUAUAUUUUUGUAAUUGCGAAAUUUAAUCACAUUUUCUUACGUACCUGUAUCUGGGAUGUUGUGAGGAACUAUGAGGGGUAUAAUCAGAACUUUGCUGCCAGAUUGGGAAUUGGUUGUGUUUCAGUCAAUUCUAAAUUCAGAAUACAUCAGCUGAUGAUUCAAAAUUUUGCCAUUUCCAUGUAAGAAAUGUUGAAUUCUGCUUAAGUUUGUGAUUGGGAGCAUGGACAGUAGUUUACAUUUGCCAGUUCCGGCUGUGAACAGGCUCUGUCAAUCUGAGCCUGCAACAUAUUUUUUUUUCAGUUUCAGGCAUCCUUUAAAGUUUCCAUUUUU